rnacentral:rRNA from 1 species
AAAUGAGGGSCUAACUGUCUCUUAUAGUCAAUCAAUUAAACUGAUCHMCUAGUAAAAAAGCUAGGAUAUCAACAUAAGACCAGAAGACCCUGUGAAGCUUAAACUAAACUAUUAAACCAAAUAAUAACUACUUUCGGUUGGGGCGACCUUGGAAAAAAAGAGAACUUCCAAACUAAAUGACCUGUAUCAUAAUGUGCCAGGCCAACAAGCCAUAAACGACCCAGCACAGCUGACCAAUGAACCAAGUUACUCCAGGGAUAACAGCGCAAUCCUCUUUAAGAGCCCAUAUCAAAAAGAGGGUUUACGACCUCGAUGUUGGAUCNGNA